rnacentral:tRNA from 3 species
GGGCCUUUAGCUCAGUUGGUUAGAGCGCUAUCCUGAUAAGGUAGAGGUCUCUGGUUCGAGCCCAGAAAGGCCCACCA